UGGAGAUGUGAAUUAGCUGUGCUCGUUCUGUUGGUGGGUUUUGCGGCGGCAAACCCAACCGAGCGUCAUGGUGAUCGUCGCAUCCUGCUGGUCAGCAAAUACUUCAAUCAAGACGGCAGGGGCAACUACGAGUACGGAUACGAACAGAGCAACGGACAGAAGGUGGAUGAGGUCGGCCGCAGCUACCCAGGACCGGAGCCCGGCACCGGCUCCAUCAGCAAAGAGGGCGGAUUCGAGUUCGUCGCUCCCAACCAGCAGAAGUACCGCGUCGACUAUCGGGCCGACGAGGGUGGCUUCCAGCCGCGGGGAGCCCACCUGCCGCAGCCCCCCGCUCAGCUUCCCGAAUACGACCUGCUGAAGCAGCGGAACCCCGAGCUGUACAUUGGGUAACUCAUUGGGAGUUGAUAGCUUGACGCAAUUUAACCGGGAAUUGAAGACAAAUUCUCCCGGUCCUGAUCCAGACCAAUCUGUGAAGAUAUGUCUCUGCAACUAAUGUGAAAAGAAACGCUAAUAUAUGGGAUGAAAAAUAUGUUUGUUGCGAUGAUUGCUGUU
rnacentral:misc_RNA from 1 species